rnacentral:rRNA from 1 species
GGGCGUUAAGUUGCAGGGUAUAGACCCGAAACCCGGUGAUCUAGCCAUGGGCAGGUUGAAGGUUGGGUAACACUAACUGGAGGACCGAACCGACUAAUGUUGAAAAAUUAGCGGAUGACUUGUGGCUGGGGGUGAAAGGCCAAUCAAACCGGGAGAUAGCUGGUUCUCCCCGAAAGCUAUUUAGGUAGCGCCUCGUGAAUUCAUCUCCGGGGGUAGAGCACUGUUUCGGCAAGGGGGUCAUCCCGACUUACCAACCCGAUGCAAACUGCGAAUACCGGAGAAUGUUAUUACGGGAGACACACGGCGGGUGCUAACGUCCGUCGUGAAGAGGGAAACAACCCAGACCGCCAGCUAAGGUCCCAAAGUCAUGGUUAAGUGGGAAACGAUGUGGGAAGGCCCAGACAGCCAGGAUGUUGGCUUAGAAGCAGCCAUCAUUUAAAGAAAGCGUAAUAGCUCACUGGUCGAGUCGGCCUGCGCGGAAGAUGUAACGGGGCUAAACCAUGCACCGAAGCUGCGGCAGCGACGCUUAUGCGUUGUUGGGUAGGGGAGCGUUCUGUAAGCCUGUGAAGGUGUGCUGUGAGGUAUGCUGGAGGUAUCAGAAGUGCGAAUGCUGACAUAAGUAACGAUAAAGCGGGUGAAAAGCCCGCUCGCCGGAAGACCAAGGGUUCCUGUCCAACGUUAAUCGGGGCAGGGUGAGUCGACCCCUAAGGCGAGGCCGAAAGGCGUAGUCGAUGGGAAACAGGUUAAUAUUCCUGUACUUGGUGUUACUGCGAAGGGGGGACGGAGAAGGCUAUGUUGGCCGGGCGACGGUUGUCCCGGUUUAAGCGUGUAGGCUGGUUUUCCAGGCAAAUCCGGAAAAUCAAGGCCGAGGCGUGAUGACGAGGCACUACGGUGCUGAAGCAACAAAUGCCCUGCUUCCAGGAAAAGCCUCUAAGCAUCAGGUAACAUCAAAUCGUACCCCAAACCGACACAGGUGGUCAGGUAGAGAAUACCAAGGCGCUUGAGAGAACUCGGGUGAAGGAACUAGGCAAAAUGGUGCCGUAACUUCGGGAGAAGGCACGCUGAUACGUAGGUGAAGCGACUUGCUCGUGGAGCUGAAAUCAGUCGAAGAUACCAGCUGGCUGCAACUGUUUAUUAAAAACACAGCACUGUGCAAACACGAAAGUGGACGUAUACGGUGUGACGCCUGCCCGGUGCCGGAAGGUUAAUUGAUGGGGUUAGCGCAAGCGAAGCUCUUGAUCGAAGCCCCGGUAAACGGCGGCCGUAACUAUAACGGUCCUAAGGUAGCGAAAUUCCUUGUCGGGUAAGUUCCGACCUGCACGAAUGGCGUAAUGAUGGCCAGGCUGUCUCCACCCGAGACUCAGUGAAAUUGAACUCGCUGUGAAGAUGCAGUGUACCCGCGGCAAGACGGAAAGACCCCGUGAACCUUUACUAUAGCUUGACACUGAACAUUGAGCCUUGAUGUGUAGGAUAGGUGGGAGGCUUUGAAGUGUGGACGCCAGUCUGCAUGGAGCCGACCUUGAAAUACCACCCUUUAAUGUUUGAUGUUCUAACGUGGACCCGUGAUCCGGGUUGCGGACAGUGUCUGGUGGGUAGUUUGACUGGGGCGGUCUCCUCCUAAAGAGUAACGGAGGAGCACGAAGGUUGGCUAAUCCUGGUCGGACAUCAGGAGGUUAGUGCAAUGGCAUAAGCCAGCUUGACUGCGAGCGUGACGGCGCGAGCAGGUGCGAAAGCAGGUCAUAGUGAUCCGGUGGUUCUGAAUGGAAGGGCCAUCGCUCAACGGAUAAAAGGUACUCCGGGGAUAACAGGCUGAUACCGCCCAAGAGUUCAUAUCGACGGCGGUGUUUGGCACCUCGAUGUCGGCUCAUCACAUCCUGGGGCUGAAGUAGGUCCCAAGGGUAUGGCUGUUCGCCAUUUAAAGUGGUACGCGAGCUGGGUUUAGAACGUCGUGAGACAGUUCGGUCCCUAUCUGCCGUGGGCGCUGGAGAACUGAGGGGGGCUGCUCCUAGUACGAGAGGACCGGAGUGGACGCAUCACUGGUGUUCGGGUUGUCAUGCCAAUGGCACUGCCCGGUAGCUAAAUGCGGAAGAGAUAAGUGCUGAAAGCAUCUAAGCACGAAACUUGCCCCGAGAUGAGUUCUCCCUGACCCUUUAAGGGUCCUGAAGGAACGUUGAAGACGACGACGUUGAUAGGCCGGGUGUGUAAGCGCAGCGAUGCGUUGAGCUAACCGGUACUAAUGAACCGUGAGGCUUAACCUU